UCCAACGAGUAAGCGGUCGUCAGCUGACGCUGUUUAGCAUCUAUUGUACACAAGACUCGAGCUGAGACAGACGCGAAUCACUGUGAAUCCAGAACUCAUGUGAAUUCAUCCCUCAUUUACAAACGGACCUCUACAUAAAGAUGCAGUUCAUGCUGUUGUUCAGCAGACAGGGGAAGCUCCGUCUGCAGAAAUGGUACGUUCCUCUGUCCGAUAAGGAGAAGAAGAAGAUCACGCGGGAGCUGGUGCAGACCGUUCUGGCCCGCAAGCCCAAGAUGUGCAGCUUCCUGGAGUGGAGGGACCUGAAAAUCGUGUAUAAAAGAUAUGCCAGUCUGUAUUUCUGCUGUGCCAUUGAGGACCAGGACAAUGAACUGAUCACACUGGAGAUCAUCCACCGCUACGUUGAGCUGCUCGACAAAUAUUUCGGCAGCGUCUGCGAGCUGGAUAUCAUCUUUAACUUCGAGAAGGCGUAUUUCAUCUUGGACGAGUUCCUGCUGGGAGGCGAGGCUCAGGAGACGUCGAAGAAGAAUGUCCUGAAAGCCAUCGAGCAGGCGGAUCUGCUGCAGGAGAGCCAGACUGAAGACUGGGGAGGUUUGGCCAAUGAGGAGAUCUUAUAAGGGAGCGAAGUCCCGCCCACCCUGUCAGCCUAUUGGUGUUUUGAGUCCGAACAUGUCGCCCGAGUCCUCUGGACUCUUCCAGAGUUAAACCGGUUCAGGUCGACGCGAUUCAGCCCCGACAUGAGUACUUUAACGUGCCCGUGUACUGAUUGGCUGCAUGCUGAGCCCCUCCCCUGCACGCCUGCUGGCCCCGCCUCUGCCUCCAGCACCGUCCAAUCAGAGAGCUGCAUCUUGGACCCAGUUUCACCUGCACACUGAAAUGUGUCGUUUGUGUUUGACCGUGUGUGUGUUCAACUGUGCUGUGAAUCAAUGUUAUGUCUAUAUCACGUUCUGGCAACACGCAUUCAUGUAGUUUGAGGAAAUCAAACCUUAGCGGUGGACAGAUCUGUUCUUUACUUUACUUUAAGAUGUUUUUAACAGAUAUUUCAAAUACACUUCAUAUCAUUGAAAAAUUGAAAAGAUGUUGUUAAAGGAGAAGCCCACUUCCAGAACAACAAUUCACAAAUAAUUUAC